UAAUAUAAUUAUAAAAGAAGGAAAUGGCUUUAUUAUUAGUAGAAGAAAAUACUUCUAAUUGAAUUAGAAUAGAAUUAUUCAUCUAUAAUAAUUAUAAAAAGAAGGAAAAUGAUUAUAUUAUUAAUAGUAGAAGAAAAUCUGGAUCAGCCAUGUGGCCUUGGGAAAAUGCAGAAAGAACAAAAAAGAUGCAGCUUAGCGGAACCACUGUGUUUGAAAUCAGGAGAUAAAAG
rnacentral:lncRNA from 1 species